rnacentral:rRNA from 1 species
GACGAACGCUGGCGGCGUGCUUAACACAUGCAAGUCGAACGGAAAGGCCCUUCGGGGUACUCGAGUGGCGAACGGGUGAGUAACACGUGGGUGAUCUGCCCUGCACUUUGGGAUAAGCCUGGGAAACUGGGUCUAAUACCGAAUAGGACUACGGCCUUCAUGGGUUGUGGUGGAAAGCUUUUGCGGUGUGGGAUGGGGCCGCGGCCUAUCAGCUUGUUGGUGGGGUAAUGGCCUACCAAGGCGACGACGGGUAGCCGGCCUGAGAGGGUGACCGGCCACACUGGGACUGAGAUACGGCCAAGACUCCUACGGGAGGCAGCAGUGGGGAAGAUUGCACAAGGGGCGCAAGCCUGAUGCAGCGACGCCGCGUGAGGGAUGACGGCCUUCGGGUUGUAAACCUCUUUCAGCAGGGACGAAGCGCAAGUGACGGUACCUGUAGAAGAAGGACCGGCCAACUACGUGCCAGCCGCCGCCGUAACAC